CUAUGCGCCUUGCCAGCCCGCUCAGGUGUGCCAGCAGCCGCGGUAAUACGUAGGUGGCAAGCGUUGUCCGGAUUUACUGGGUGUAAAGGGCGUGUAGCCGGGCCGGCAAGUCAGAUGUGAAAUCCCAAGGCUCAACCUUGGAACUGCAUUUGAAACUGUUGGUCUUGAGUAUCGGAGAGGUAAUCGGAAUUCCUAGUGUAGCGGUGAAAUGCGUAGAUAUUAGGAAGAACACCAGUGGCGAAGGCGGAUUACUGGACGACAACUGACGGUGAGGCGCGAAAGCGUGGGUAGCAAACAGG
rnacentral:rRNA from 1 species